GAUGAACGCUGGCGGUAGGCCUAACACAUGCAAGUCGAACGGCAGCACAGGAGAGCUUGCUCUCUGGGUGGCGAGUGGCGGACGGGUGAGGAAUACAUCGGAAUCUACUCUGUCGUGGGGGAUAACGUAGGGAAACUUACGCUAAUACCGCAUACGACCUACGGGUGAAAGCAGGGGACCUUCGGGCCUUGCGCGAUUGAAUGAGCCGAUGUCGGAGUAGCUAGUUGGCGGGGUAAAGGCCCACCAAGGCGACGAUCCGUAGCUGGUCUGAGAGGAUGAUCAGCCACACUGGAACUGAGACACGGUCCAGACUCCUACGGGAGGCAGCAGUGGGGAAUAUUGGACAAUGGGCACAAGCCUGAUCCAGCCAUACCGCGUGGGUGAAGAAGGCCUUCGGGUUGUAAAGCCCUUUUGUUGGGAAAGAAAUCCAGCUGGCUAAUACCCGGUUGGGAUGACGGUACCCAUAGAAUAAGCACCGGCUAACUUCGUGCCAGCCGCCGCCGUAA
rnacentral:rRNA from 1 species